GCCACCCUAGCUCAGCCGGUAGAGCAACUAAUUCGUAAUCAGUAGGUCGCCGGUUCGAAUCGAGCGGGUGGCUCCA
rnacentral:tRNA from 1 species